ACAGUCUGUUGUUUUACUGCAUCAGCAGUCAGAAGCAUGAGGAUGGCAAUGUGCUAGAUAGGGAGCUCUUUUUAGACGACGUUACCUAUCGUGUUUUUGCUAACGGUAAGAGUGGCCUCGGCAGCGGCAGCCAGGUUUCGGAUUUCUCCGUUCGUUUGCCCCGGUCGUUCCUCUUCCUGCUUGUCAGGCCCUUGGCCUAUCCGUUCAGUUCAAAGCUAAGAACCAUCAAGCCAAAGAACCCUGAGUGGCGCUGUUUUUUUUUUUUAAACAGAGAAGAAGUCGGUGAGUAACAAUUCAGUACGAAGCAUCUACAAGUAGCUAUUACGACGCAUUGAGUGUUUGGCGAAAAGCCCGAGGACGCGAGUAUAACUAAUUUAGUUGCUGGUCAAGCCAGGUUAUGUUGGAUAGUUUGCUGGUCGUCUGCCUGUGAUGUCCUCGUUCUCUCCCAUUUUCGUCUACAAUUUGCUUCCGCAGUUCGAAUAUCAAAGAGUAAUAAUAGCAGUUGGAAGAGAAAACAGGCAAGGAAUGAAAACGAAAAAGAUACUUACUGAACAGCGUGAACAUUGCGCUCGGCCACGGACCAUUUUGAUACGAAAUAGGAAAAGGCACAGAUGAAGAUGACAGAGAACGACGGAGUGGCACCUAGAUACAGCUCAAGCAAAACCUUCAAAUCAUCCUGAAUCUAGAUAUCUCGCUUUGUGUGGAUCAUUGCCACCGCCUUCUGUCGUAAUUGCCUGCCCCUUACAGGGCUAAUGUCGAGGAGAAAAGUGGUUUAGACUGGUAGCAAAGCUGCUACAAGGAUGCUGAAAAGCUACUCAGAGAAAGCAAUUGAUAUAUUUCGUUAGUUUACUUUCAGAUCUGGCCAUACAUCCAUUGUGUGCCCAUUCAAAACGUAAUGCGGUCCGUUUAUUAAAAUUAAGCACUUUUGUUCAAUACGCAACUGAUAAUGUAAAAUAUAAUGCGAUCCUAAUAUUUUCUGAGCUAUUACGAGAAUUACUGCUUUGUCUAAUUCAUUUUUGACAAUCGUUUUAAUAAUACGGAUAUAGUUUUCAUCAGAAUAAUUUGUGUUUAAUGAUUUGAUUACGGGUAUAGGGUGUGCCCACUUCCGGACAAAACAAAAGGCUAUUGAGUCGCCUGCUUAGAUUGAGCCUUAUAGGAACAAUUCUUGACCGCGCUAACUGGACAUUCCGGAUAGGUGCCCCGCUAAUGUAGUCAGAGGAACUAUACUGAUAAUUAUUGUAUACAUGUAGCAAUUUACGUAUUCGAUUUUCCAGUAAUUGAUCUACUUCUCUAUCAUUUUUGGCUGACUGAUACUGGCAAUGAGACUUCGUACGACAAGUGCUGCAGGUUUAGUAAGAAAAUAUUUGUACUAUGUAAAUGAUCCUACAUAACCGGUGGAUCUCGCUUGCCUACUCUAUAUAAUAGCCUCUUGUCGUAGCUUUUCGUCUCAGACUCACUUGAUAAUGCCAUGAACAUAUCAGACAGGUUUAAACAACUGAUGUACGUUUGCAUGCACACAGAGUUAAGGCAUUGCCAGUACGGAAGUACUGGCAAUGCCUUAACAUUGUGCAAUAUGGACCAAGUCGUAUAACGUUGCCACUUCCUCUCAGUAAUACUUCCACUUCUUUCUUAAUUUAGCUCCUAGUUCCUUUAGAAAAGUGUCAGCGACGACUGGUAGCACCGAAAUUUUCACUCCAGCCAGCUAGACACGUUUUCGCAAGAGUGGCGGAAAGAUUGUCACAUAUAAGACGGACACCAGUUUCCUUGGCACCUAUGGAGACUGCCCUAUCUCAGUAAAAACAUUAAAUGAGCCUUAGGUUGAGGUCUGCGGGUCAUGAAAGAGAAAAGGAGAACAAAGGACGAUCAAACCACAAUAUGAUCAUACUGCGAAGGCUCUGCGCGGAGGUAGGAGCGGACAGUUCGCGACGCUGUGUUGCCCUCAAAACGAGGCAGAGAGCACGUCCUAUUAAAAAAUCUGCUGGUGCUGCUGCCAUGAAGUGGCCAAACAAGGACACUGACAAGAGUCUUCUACAACGAACGCCUUCGAUAUAAACGCAUACAUUUCGAAAGAGCGACUGGAAUCACAUUUGAAGGAGUCGGAGAAGAAGGCCUUUUCCAAGUAAUAUUGGUAGGCAUAAUCGGCUCAUUUCCAUAGCUGCGCUCGCUUAGAGAAGGACAAACGCGUUUUAGCUUCCUUGUCAUAGUCGAGAUGCAGGACGAUGUUACGCAGUCGACCGAACAGUAAAUGCUAUGAUUUGGUCCUAUUCGUUUGCAAAACUUUCAUUGGAGAAAGAACAGCGUACCUGUAAUCUAAACAGAUUGUACAGGUGAUGGCAUUUUAAGUAUACCAAUAAUGAAGCACACUAUAAUUAUCAGGUUGUCUGAAAAGUUCCUGUUUACUUUGUUUUUACUUACUGUUCACUUCCUGUUUUACUUUGUUUUUUUUUCAAUGUUCUGAAAGAAGAACCGUUUUUUGCUGUUUAAACCUAUUCAAAUCACAAAAGAUUGACUUUGCCUUUUCGUUCGAAUAUGGAUACGUUAGGUGAUAGAAACAGCCUUUUAAACAUUCACUAUUCAUCUUAAGCCAACGAGAGCAGCUACUAAAACACAUACGUGUUACAUGUAUGACCAAGCCUUAUAUCUAUCCCUCUGAUAGAUCUGAUCUAUAAAUAUCACCUCUGAAUAUCUGAAACAUAUACUCCAUUCGACUUUUCGAAUCCGGCGAAGGUUAUCUUGAGCACCUUUUGAAACAGAACCUAGACAAACCCCUUCCCAUGUACAGAACAAAUAUCUCGGAUUGUAAAUAGCAAAUAAAGCAUUUAUCAGAAAUUUGUUUUUUUCUCUCUAUACUCGAUGUAUACAAAGCGAGAAAAAUACUUUUCGACAAAUACAACAAAAAACGACAACAAAUCUUGAACAACACAGAAAGAGCGGUUUUCGUAGCGGUCUGUUUUGCCUUGCACUUAAUAAACAAAAAAGAAAAAGGCAUAAGAACAGCAAACUAGGACCGCCACUUCGAAAAAACUAGUAUACUAAGUUAGGUUGUUUAUUCAUGUGAACGUAAUUACAGAUUUUCUUAGGCAUUUUUGUUUUCACUUUAAAAGGGUAAAUAGAACUCAACGAAAGGUCACAGAGAUGAUAUAUUAUAUUUUCAUUAACUGUAUUAGAACAUUAGGUCGUAUACUAGGUUUUGGAGAAAUUGCGACCCGGUGUCGCUGUUGGCGAUCGGUACGUUCGCAUCGUUCCACGAUAUUGUGCGUAAGUAUAAAAAAUUGCUCUACUCUUAGCGUCAAAGACGAUUGCCAAGCGUCUUUAAGAUUUAUCAUGAUCAUCCGAAAAAUGAAUAGGUGAAAAGCUUAGCUGAUUUGAUAUACUCCAGCACUCUGUCAUCCGUCCUUUCUUAUACGGUAAAUAGUCGUCUAAGUGCGAUACCUUAUUCGAUAUUAGGAUGUUCCUAUAUAUGCACACGGAUAAAAUUUGAGACUAUUCUAUUAUCGAACUAUACGCUCAUCUACCUAAACCUGUUUUUGUUGUUUUCGAGUUCGACAGGUCGAACGAUGCUACACGUCGCAGGGACAGGGCAAAUCCCUUCCUCUUUUGAAUGUUCUAUUCGUUUUGAUUCUUGUGAGUCUACUCGUCGAGGCGCUAUCUUCGUUACUUCCCUGUGAUCAUGUUCCUAUGUUACGCAUACGAUAUCCGUUUUCCGUUUUUGGCCGUGAUGUUACGUGAUCACGUAUUUCUGUUUUAUUGUUUACAUUCUAAAUUGACGCGGCAAUGUUUCCGCGAAUCUUUCUGCUGACUUUUGCCCUCCUUGCCAGACUCAUGUGAGUAUGCAUAACCAACCCGGCUUUCCUUGUUACUUGCUUUAUCGGCAAUAUUAAACUCGACAUAGUAUGAGUAUAAGCUGAGACGACACACUCGCACAUCACCGACUCGCUUUUGUUGUUCUUAGUUAAGUGCCCAACCACACGACCCCUUCAACCCAUAAGACAUGGCGCGGACUGUACCUUUUUUUUAGCGCCUUUCAACCGUUUAGUGUUCGCUUCUGGGGCCCUUCGGCUUCUCGUCUUUUUCAGGCUUCGUCUUUUCGUUGCUUAUUCUCCUGGUGGUUGCUAUCACACAUUCUACUAACGUUCCCCCAUACUCGCGGUCCGGUUUAUCUGUUUAGUCAGGAUGCUUGUGGUGGCUGAUACAGACUUCAUUCGACGCCUACCAUCCUUGGAGAUGUCAAGCUGUGCGAGCCACCGCUCGCAGUACACCGUUACUGCUAGCGCGACCGCGGUCAUCGCCGCCAUCGGCGUCCGGCCGCCCGAGGCCAUGCCCUUACUCAACCUUAGUCGGGCGGCGACUAACGCGCUUUGUGUCCUUGAGUCACUAAUAGCCAUACGCCAAUACUACUGAGAGAUUCGUAUGUUAUGGAGCCACUAAAUUGCGAGGCUCGACAGGCUUGGCAGUGUCGAUCUUUUCUGAUUCUUCACAAAGCGGGGACUGUUUUACGCCCGAUUAUUCCACCCAUCAACUUGAUACGAAUGGGUGUACUUUUACCCAAUCAGUAACAUGUUCACAAUGUCGCCAAUUACUUACAAAGAUAUUUGUACGUCUG